CUGUCAAAUUUGCAAUGCGCCAUCUGCUGUUAAAAUUGUAAAUGAUAGCGUUUAGACAUUAGAGGGGUGUAGUCAAAAUUAAUACAAAAUACAGAACAUUGGAGAGGCUUAUAGACUGAAAAAAAUAAAACUUGUGAUAUCCAGAAGUCUUUACAUAUAAAAGGAGUUGGUCAAUUGUGGUGAAGUAAAUUAAAAAAAUUGUGUUUGUUUUUGAAGUGGAAUUAUUGUGUCUUCAUACUGGAAAUAGAGGAAAUAAAACGUUUGCCGAAUUAUUUGAAAAAUGAAAAAAAUAGACACAUCAUUGGAGUUAGGGCCGUGAGAGAAAGGAGGUGUGAAGCUUGUCAUCCAGAAAAUUUGAGAAUCACGGGGCAAUCUUGCCCAAAAUUCGACCAAGCAAAAUAUCCUGGGGAAUUUAUCCUUGAUCUGUGGUUAGAUAAGGAUACAUUCAAGACACUGCUGAAAAUAUGAAUUGGAAGGAAGACUCAAUAAUCUGAAUGAAAGCCGAAAGAAUGACUUUUUGAAAUUAUUUUUAAAUUUGAUAAGUUUUAUCUCAGUUCACCUUUAUCUUGUUUUGUUUCUCUAAUAAGACUAUAUUUAUAACAGAAUGAUUUUCUCCAAGGAAUACUCAUUUUUUUUCUUUGUACAUUUUGGAUGUUAAAUAUGUGAGAGUAUGUAAUUUGGGAUUUCAUGAAUUUUGCUGAUGGUAUUUAUGGAUAUCUCUCAAAAUUUGUUUGUUAUAAAUGCAGUACAAAUAGCCCGACAAUUCCCCGAAAAGCUAGCGAUAGCAGUGCCAACAGCUCUAAGAUCUCAUCCCGAUUCAAUGCUUGGCCGAAAGCGUUAAGCAGGCACUCUUCCAAUAGAUCAAACUCAUCUAAUCAAGGCGGACAUAAGAGGAAUCUUUCCAACCAAUCAGCAAGGUCAUGCGAGCUAGGGGAGGAGGCUGUACCGUCAGACACUUCUCUGGGCGGUCCCUCCUCCCCAGUAAUCGCAAUUACUUCAAUGACUGUUUACAAAUCCACAUCAAAAGCAGAGGAUUUGAACUCAAAACAUUCACAGAAGCAUGCCACCAGUAUAGAUCUAGACAAAAUAGACAAUAUAGAAUUUAUAGAUACCACCCCAUCAGCAAGUCUGACGGGUCAUAUAAAUAAUGUUGGUUAUCAUACUAUUGAGAAGGUGACAAAGGAAAAUAAAAAGACUUCCUCAAGAUCAAGAUCUGUGGAAGAUGAAGUUUUUGUGGGGCCCUCAUUGAGGAUCAAGCCGCAACCAACUAAAGUUUCAAAAACAAAGAUUAGUAAUACCAAGAAGAAAGCGAAAAAGGAGAAGGAUAAACCAAACGAGGUGCCAAAGGUUAAUAUAGGUUCCAUGGAAAUCAAAGAUAAAUUUUCAGAUGUGCUAGCCGAGAAGCCUCAAAACGAAACAAAAAUCACUGAGGAGAAUCUCAAGGAUACAUCCAUGGUUGUUAAGACUUCAACAGUUGAGACUGAGCAUCGUAAAACGGUUACAACGACUACUAGUUUGAACCGUUAUACAUUUACAAAAAUCAAAGAUGAACAACCAAAGCUACAGAAGGAAAUCAGGACCCAUAGCUGUUCCUCGAUACCAUAUGAUAAUAUAAUUGAGAAUUUGGCACCAUUCCGUAAAAGAUUCUGCAACAUUCAGAUAUUCGAUGGAAAUGAUGAAGAUGAACUAAAUUUCAAUGUAGAUUCCAAAAAAGAUACGAAAAUCGCUUCGAGGGAAGAAGUGGAGCCCGUUGUGAAUGAAGUACUGAAGGAGGUGUUCGAUAUGGCCGUACAGAUAAUAACGAAAAACCGGCUGCAGCUGCCUCAGGAUAAGAUCCAGAUGCCUGUAGUGUCAGCGCUGCCCGCGAAAUCCACUCUAGUUGAUUACAAAAGCCGCAUUCGUUGCAAUACCAGUGAUAUUCUGUCGCCCCUCUCCAAGAUGCUGACCACAGCCGUCGAUCACCAGGUACUGGACGCUAAGAACUUCGUCGAGGAUUAUGAAGAGUUCCACGACUGUUGCUCGGAGAUGACAGAUUCCAAGAUUGGGACAUACACCACUCUUAACGAUGUCGAUUUGCCUGACAAGGAACGGGGAAGGAGUAGAAAAAAAAAGGAUAAGUCUGUGAAACAUGGCGGGGUGACCUGCAUGAUACCGGUCGAGACCGACUCCAAUGCCGAGGACGAAGUAGAGACGAUGCAGAGCGACCAACGGUUAAGAGAGAUCGGUCCCAUGUACAAUAUACCGAAGAACUAUUUUAUGAAUCCAGAACUGACAGAGAUAACGGAACAGACUAUCGAUGAGCUUCAUCGGAACGACGAAAACGCGGAAAAUAGCGAGAAUAUAGUGGAGCAGAGCGUCGUUGUCAAUUUGAGCCUCAGCAAGGAGGGAAAGGUGGAGGAUGAGGACGAUGUCUACAAGCCCAUUGCUGUCAGCCCAGACGGAAGGUUCUUCAAAUAUGAGGAAGAGAUCGGCCGAGGAGCUUUCAAAACUGUUUACCGUGGUCUGGAUACUCAAACUGGUGUGGCAGUUGCAUGGUGUGAACUACAAGAAAAAAAACUAAACAAGGCUGAGAGACAAAGGUUCCGGGAAGAGGCUGAGAUGUUGAAAAAACUACAGCAUCCGAACAUAGUGAGAUUUUACAAUUAUUGGGAGUAUACAGGGACAAAGAAGAAAAAUAUAGUGCUUGUGACAGAGCUCAUGUUGAGUGGAACUCUUAAAACGUACCUGAGGAGAUUCAAGAAGAUAAACCCAAAGGUGUUGAAGUCUUGGUGCCGUCAGAUAUUGAAGGGACUGGCCUUCCUGCACUCAAGAGCCCCUCCCAUCAUACAUCGGGAUCUCAAGUGUGAUAACGUCUUCAUAACUGGCACCACAGGUUCAGUAAAGAUAGGCGACCUUGGAUUGGCCACACUCAAGAAUAGGAGCUUCGCAAAAUCCGUUAUAGGGACGCCUGAGUUCAUGGCCCCUGAGAUGUACGAGGAGCAUUACGACGAGGGCGUAGACGUGUACGCCUUCGGUAUGUGCAUGUUGGAGAUGGCCACCAGCGAGUAUCCCUAUUCCGAGUGUACGGGUCCUGCCCAGAUAUAUAAGAAGGUCAUUUCGGGGGUUAAACCGGCCAGUUUCGAUAAGGUGCAAUCUCCUGACAUUAAGGACGUCAUCGAAAGUUGCAUAAGACCAAGGAAGGAGGACCGGCCCAAAGUUAAGGACCUCUUGAUGCAUGCCUUCUUCGAAGAAGACGUUGGACUGAAGGUGGAGGUGGUCUCGCAAGAUGGCAACAAGGUUGUCUUCCGCCUUAGGGUUAUAGAUCCCAAGAAGCGAACCCAUAAGCACAAGGAGAACGAGGCGAUACAGUUUGACUUCGACCUGGAGGGCGAUAGGCCAAAUACUAUUUCAGAAGAAAUGGCAAAGUCUGGAAUCAUCUUUGAAGAUGACGCCAAAACUGUGGCUCAACUUCUGAAAGCUCAAAUAACUCAGAUAACAAAGGAAAGGGAAGCGCAAAGGUCGAAGGAACAGGAGGCUUUAGCACAGCAGAUGCAGUAUCAGCAAUAUAUUCAGCAACAAGUAGAACAGCAAUUAUCUCAACAGCAGCAACAAUCCUCCAACGUUCCCCAGCAGCAACCCACACCUCAACCUCAGCCAACACAACAGGUCUAUCAAUCUCAACCCAGUUACCAGCAAACAAGUACAGAGAACCAGUCCCAACAGCUUCCUCCUCAGCAUUACAAUCAACAAGGACAACCACACCAAGCUCAGCAGACUCAGAUAAUCCAGGAAUCCAGCCAGAUGUCCCAACCUCAAUAUCAGCAGCCCCAGAAUAUUAUUCAACAAGAGCAAACUCAACAGUUUGUACAACAAUCUCAACCAUCCCAGCAAGACUCUGGUAUGAUACAACAACAUCACAUCACCACCCAAUACCAGCAACAAUCGCAACAGGUUCAGCAACAAGAAGCUCAAGUGUUUCAACAAACCCAGCAGAUUCCCCAACAGCAACAACAGGCUCCACAACAGCAGAUUCAACAGCAACAGCCUCCGCAUCAAAUGCAGCAACAGCCUCAUCAAAUUCAACAGCAGCAAACUUCCCAGCAGCACUCUGAGGCCCAGCAUAACAUACAGAGACAGCAGUCUGUGGAUCCAGUUCAGCAACAGGUCACUAUACAUACACAGCAAAGCCAACAGCAGCAAUUCAUUCAGCAGAAUUACAUUUUGGAAAAUCAGCAGGAGUAUCUUAAUGUCAUAGUUGAAAAUCAACAUAAACUUAGCAGCAUUUCUCAACCGGAACUGUUGCACGCUACCACACCCCAAGUGGAGCACAGACUGAGUGUGGACAGUCAGAUUGACAAGAUCAACCCUCAGACACAAAUAGAUCCACAAUUGAGUACUCAACAGCAUCAAGGUACCCAGCAGAUGGUUCAUCAGGUUGAAGGUUACAUUAUUUAUCCUCAACCUCAACAACAAGGUAAUUUCCAGCCGGCACAGCCCCAGACUUAUCAGCAGGGGCAAUAUACUGAACAAGCUCCUUCAUCUACACAUAGUAAUUACCCUACUCAACAAACAUCUCAGCAAGUGAAUUAUCAACCUCAAUCAUCGCAAAAUUAUAUGCCCCAGCAAACUGUAAGCUAUCAGCAACAGGGUCAUUUUGUGGAUCAGAAUUCUUAUCAAACUCCUCAGACCCAGUAUACACAGCAAAGUACCCCUCAACAGGGUCAGCCUCAGUUUGCGCAACAGGGGGCUCCGCAAACUCAGCAGCCCCAAUAUGCCCAGCAGACGAAUCCACAGCCUCAGCAAACACAAUAUACUCAGCAAGGAACACCUCAAACGCAGUACACGCAACAGGGUUCGCAACAAACACAACCUGCACAGUACCAACAACCACAGGGUACCCAGCAAACUCAGUAUUCACAGCCGAACGCCCCUCAAACACAUCAAUGUCAGUAUUCUCAACAGAGUUCUACACAGUCCCAACAAGUUCAGUAUCCUCAACAAAGCACGCAGCAGGCACAGUUCUCAUCUCAGGGAACGCCGCAAACGCAGUAUGCUCAACAGAACACAUCUCAGGCUCAGGCGGCCCAAUAUGCUCAGCAAAAUACUGCGCAACAGUCGCAAUACAAUCAGCAGGGGACAUCACAGCAACCACACAUGUACCAAGGACAGCAGGCGCCUCCCGCAUAUAAUCAGCAACAGUCUCAGGCAGCUCAGUAUCAACAAUAUAUUUCUCAAACUUCAGUAGAACACCAGGUUUAUCAAUCGAAAGGUGAGCCUUUGCAGCAGUUGUACCAACAACCGCAAAUAACGACGCAGCAAACUCAGCAGCAGAUACCUGCUCAGCAACAGCAACUUCCACCUGUCCAACAGAUUCAAGCGUCACAAUCUCAACAGAUGCAACCUCCUCAGCAGUAUGUUCCGCAACAGGUGGAUCAAAACCAGUAUAUUCAGCAGCAGCAAGUGGAUCAGAAUCAGUAUAUUCAGCAGCAGCAAGUGGAUCAGAAUCAAUAUAUUCAGCAGCAGCAAGUGGAUCAGAAUCAAUAUAUUCAGCAGCAGCAAGUAGAUCAGAAUCAGUAUAUUCAGCAGCCUCAGCAGAAUCAACAAAUGGUCCAAAUGAAUCAAGUCACUGUAGCUCAACCCAUUGCGCAGGGUCAUAUUGGUCAAACGCAACCGGCACAGCCUGUGGAACAGCCGAGCGAGCAGGUUUCACAGCAGUCCUUAGCUAAUCAUAGAAUGUCGUCUACCGAAGCGCCCCCCAUGAAUCUUGCUGAGUUACAACAAAAACUUGCACAGCAGAACGCUCCGGUGAUCAAGGAAUCUCAACAAAGAGUGUCGCUGCCUGCGAUGACGUCAUUUGAUAGCCAUCCAAAUGAUCAGAGAAGGUUGUCUUCCACAUCUCAGCCCUCUACGUCUCAGGAUUAUCAACCUUCUUAUCACCAGAUACAAGAGGAUAUCUCCAGUCAAUCGUUUGACAACCAGAAGGCCCUAACUACCGAAACAAGGAAUGAUCCGCAGAAUCCUCUAGAUACGGCAGUGCAUGAGGAACAACACGCAACUUCAGGUCUAGAAACUCAACGAGAAGAAACAAGUUUGCAGAACCUUAUGAAGCAACCGUUUUCCGAGCAAAGCAAGACGGAUAACACACUGGCAGGUUUGAAAUCAUCGUUAACUGAAAAGCUGUCUUCGAAUCUGCGCAACAGGGAAAGUCUGAACAGUAGCGGAACCGUAUCCCGAAAGACAAGCACUGCUAGUGAGUACACUCCCGAGCACACCUACGUGACGGAGAGCAAAUCUCCUGCUUUGAAGAGAGAGAAUAUUUCGACAACAGAUGGGCCCACAGUUGUAGAGUCAAAACAGGAGCCAGAAAAUGACGACGAACUCAAAGCGGAACUGAAUAAUAGUCUAAAGAAGGGAGAAGUCAAACUGUUGCCUGGACAAAAAGUUGACGUCAAAAUGUUUAUCCUUAAGCCAGAGGAGGGUUCAGACGUCAAGCAAGACUCUUCCAAAACAAUAGAGGAUGAGAACAAUGUCGAAAUUAAGUCUUCAGAAUGUAAGACACCGGAAUCAGCUUUAAAAGUACCUCAAAGGAAGAUUUCAAGGUUCUUAGUGAGUCCAGUACUCUCUGGUCAGUUGGAUGUACCAAAAGAUAAAGAAUUUGAUGUGGAACCCUCACAGGAGCAAUCUAAAAAUGCCAACGAGGUUAUCGAUAAUACGCAAACCUCUCCAGCUACAGCGAAUGUGGAAUCUAUUCCCUCCUCAACAGUACAAUCCGAAACCUGUAGAAAGAACUCAGGUCAGUUGGAGACUCCUAAAGCUAUCACGGAGCUGGAGAAAAUAGUUGAACAGAAACACAGUGUCUCUUCGAUGAAGGAUGAACCAUAUAAGGAGGAGCAACCGGCACCUGUUUGUGGACCAGAAAUGAUCAACACUCUGGAACAGCUGAAGAUCAGCCUGGAUAAUCUUAAACAUAGUGGUCAUCCUGUCCACAAAAAGGAGUCGUCAGAAAGCGAAUCGAAGAAGGAGGUAGCUGUGCCGGUAACACAGAAACCACAGCCGAAUGUUCAGAUACCAGUUCCGCAGCCACAGCCCGUUGCACCGCCUCAAAAUGUCCAGAGCCAGCAAAUACUCACUCAAGCGCAACAGCAAUCUCAGCCUGUUCAGUCUACGCCUAGUCAGCAGCAGCCUGUUCAGAACCAGCAGUUGCCUCAGCAGCAGGUUAGUCCGCCUCAACCACCAAUGGCACAACCAGGUCCAGUACAGACGCAACCGGCUCAGCAGGUCGCUCAGCUUCCUCCUCAGCAGCCUAUAUUGCAGACUCAACAUCAGCAAAUGCCUCAGAUAGUCCAGCAGUUCCAACAGAUUCCCCAUAGUCAACCAGUUACUCCGCCCAUAUGUCAGCCUAAUAGUAUUCCGAUGUCCUCACAACCGCAGCACAUAAUGGGACCGCCCAGUUUUGUCCAACAAGCUCCUCCCGCACUGCAACCCCAAAACGUCCUGACGCAACCACCGCUAUCUCAGAUAUCCCAGGUCACACUGACGACGGUACCACAACCUAUACCCCUCAAUCUUCCGCAGGCACCGACGACUGCGCCCAUCAACCUACCGCCACAGCAAUAUGUAGCUGGUCCUCAGGUUUUACCCCAACAAGUUCCGAUAUCUAUUCCCUCAUCGCUACCACCCGUUAUUCACCAUGUCACUCAACCGAUGAUGUUGAACGUAGUUGGCUCUGCGAUAACCACCAAUGUGGUAGACAUAGCAACGCCCAACGUCACUUACGCUCCACCACAAGUCGGAGAAGUGACAUCACCUCCCAUCGGAGGCAUGUCUGGCUCUGUAUCUGUUCAGAACAUGGCCGUUAGGGGGCAACAGUUCCAGCAUCCGAUGCCUGUGGAAGAUCCGUUGCAUCAAGGAGUUACCCUAGUCAAGAAAAUGCCAGAUAACAUCAAACAGAUCGUAGAGAGUAACUCAAACAAGAGUAGUCAAGCUUCCACUCCCACUUCAGACGUGAAAUACGAUGUCCACCUGCAAAGUCUUCAGCAAAAGUUGUCUUCCUCCCUGCCAAUUGCACGGACUACCCUUGGUGUUGACGUUGCCGGUUCUCCUCACAGUGGCGCUGCCACUUCUGAGGUCCUCUCACCGGUGGUGGAGUUAGAACACAGUCCCUUCUCCUCUAAGACGGACCCCACGAAGAACACCCAGAUAAUGAACGAGUUCAACAGUCAACUGUCCAGGAUAAACUCUAGAACGGAGGCCGUAACUGCCCAGGAGCAUUCUAGAGUUGGUCAGGAAAUCGCACCGGCAUUGCAGCUUUCUCCUCAGGAGUCGGAUAACGCCAAGAAAGAAAGAAAAAUAUCUAGGUUUAAAGUUAGUGUUGUUACCGAGCCUGAUCCAAAUAAGUUAGUUUUGCCGUCUAAAGAAAAGAAGGCGGAGGUGCUAGAACCGGUAGCUUCCAGUGUUAUAGCACCUCCACAAAUGAACUCUGGAGGUAACGGUCAUGAUCCUAAAGAAGACAAGGCCGACGUUAAGACCAUAAUCAAUGAUACAUUCAAUAGUCUGGCAAAUGUGUUGGCUGGAAGUCUGCCGCCAAAUCAAGAAUUCCCGUUGGAAGUUUCCAAAGUUAGGAAGCAUGGCGUAGACAUCAAAACAACCAAUAUCGGCACCACUGUCCAUUCUAACCUCACUUGUGGAAAGACUAACCAACCGAAAAAUGACACUCAAUCAUUUUGUCACUCUCACCUAGCCGCGCGCCCUCUUCGUAAAUCUGUAUCUUAUGACGACUUAAAGAAAGGUAUCGAGUCGAUUUUGCCAAUAAGAAAGAGCGCAACGGAGACCCCUGAGAGAUUAUCCCCCAGGAGAAGCAUCGAGAACAGGAACGCAUGCACCAAUCUGAAGGAAUAUCCUCAGAUCGUGAUACAUCCUCCUGAAGAGAACUACAGCAACAGCAUGCCUAACAUCUAUGCCACUUCUAUGGAGUACGCACGGCCUUUGCUGUUACGCAUCGCCAGCAUGGAUGGAGGACUCGACGGCAGCUGUGCCGACUUUGAUGAAGGCGACGAUUACAGCUUCGAAUCUUGUAAAAACCACUAUGAGGCAGACGAUCUUUUUGAGAUGUCUGACGAAGACGUUCUGUCUCCACCAGCCAAAACUCAUUUUGAGGAGUUCGUGAACGCCAGACGAUUGCCGGAAGAUUACAAACUCCGGAAAAACGAGGAAAGAUACUCUAAGCACCCGAAGCUUUCCUCCAGACAGUCGUUCCACGGAAUGCCAUCUGCAAAGACCCACGGCGUAGCUUUGGGUUGCAACUAUUCGACCAUGUCGAUGGAUACUCCAGGAUCUGAGGAUUUUACGGAGUACCAUUUCGGUUCUAGAGAUAGACAAUACUCCUCUUACUUCGAGGAUCAUGGGCACUGUAGACGCGAGGAAGCUCCGAGCGAGCUACUGAAACGUCAGUUGAAGUUCAAGCAUUCCAACUCGAUGCACAACUUGACUAAGAGGCAAGAUAUCCUCUUCAGCCCUCCUAGAGAGGACGUCUUCUGUCCGUAUCAUACUAUACACGGUGCACAGUUCCCCAGUUCACAUAGAGGUAGAUUAGAUUAUGAUAACGAAAACUAUAGGUAUAAAAGGUUGCAUCACAGGUUCUCCUCCUCCCCUCCACCGUCUCACGACGAUCAUCAAAGAGAUUAUUCGACUAGACCUUACCACGCGUUUUCCCCGCUUAGCGCCCUUCCCUCCAAUAUCCACAACGUAUCAACCAUCUCUCAUGGUAACCAGACUGCGCCGCAGUAUAUCGUCUGCUCCCCUCAUACUGUACAUCCAGACACGCCCAAUGCUUUCGGCCACACCCAUCACCAUCCUCAUCACCAUGGUAGAUCUCAUCAUGCGGAAGUUAGGCAUGUGUACAAAUGUUGUUGCGGUAAGCCAUGGUGUUUGGCAGUGGUGCCUAUUGAACAAUAUUUGGAGAGUUACUUUGUCAAAACGGAAGAAACUUUCGAGGAAAUGUUGAACCGACAAAAGGCUGAGUUGAAUGCUCUUAUGGAGGCUCAUCGUAAACAGCAGUUAGAAUACAUGGGUAAGCUCCAGUUUGAACAAAAUGUCAGCUCCCCAAAAGUUGAAUGUAAAACAUAGCAUUUUUUGGUGGCUGAUUUAUGUUUUCUUUUUCUUUUCAGAAUUUCAUAGGAAACAAACUGAAGAAUCAAAGAAGAAGUAAUUUCAGUAUAUGGAAAUGAAAUUGAGAAUGAAAGGCUGUAUAAAUAUUGUUUAUAUUGUAUCAUAAUUUGAAGAAAAAAGUCUAGUUAACCUAAUUAUAUUAUGAAUCAGA